rnacentral:tRNA from 2 species
GCCAUGAGUCCGGUUGGUCGAGGGAGUGGUCUUGAAAACUUACUGCCUGUGAAAGGGUCUGGGGUUCGAAUCCCUAUCAUGGCG